rnacentral:rRNA from 1 species
GGGAACGACAUCGAAAGCUUGCUUUUGAUGGGCGUCGACCGGCGCACGGGUGAGUAACGCGUAUCCCAUCUGCCCACCACUUGGGGAUAACCUUGCGAAAGUAAGACCUUUACCCAAUGGUAUCUCUAGAAGACAUCUGAAAGAGAUUAAAGAUUUAUCGGUGAUGGAUGGGGAUGCGUCUGAUUAGCUUGUUGGCGGGGUAACGGCCCACCAAGGCAACGAUCAGUAGGGGUUCUGAGAGGAAGGUCCCCCACAUUGGAACUGAGACACGGUCCAAACUCCUACGGGAGGCAGCAGUGAGGAAUAUUGGUCAAUGGACGAGAGUCUGAACCAGCCAAGUAGCGUGUAGGAAGACGGCCCUAUGGGUUGUAAACUGCUUUUAUAAGGGAAUAAAGUGAGAGUCGUGACUCUUUUUGCAUGUACCUUAUGAAUAAGGACCGGCUAAUUCCGUGCCAGCAGCCGCGGUAAUACGGAAGGUCCGGGCGUUAUCCGGAUUUAUUGGGUUUAAAGGGAGCGUAGGCCGGAGAUUAAGCGUGUUGUGAAAUGUAGACGCUCAACGUCUGCACUGCAGCGCGAACUGGUUUCCUUGAGUACGCACAAAGUGGGCGGAAUUCGUGGUGUAGCGGUGAAAUGCUUAGAUAUCACGAAGAACUCCGAUUG